rnacentral:tRNA from 1 species
GUCCCCGUAGCUCAACCGGAUAGAGCGACUCUCUUCUAAAGAGUAGGUUGCAGGUUCGAGUCCUGCCGGGGACA